rnacentral:rRNA from 1 species
AAGCAUAUCAAUAAGCGGAGGAAAAGAAACCAACAGGGAUUGCCUUAGUAACGGCGAGUGAAGCGGCAACAGCUCAAAUUUGAAAUCUGGCUUCGGCCCGAGUUGUAAUUUGCAGAGGAUGUUUAUGGUGCGGUACCUUCCGAGUUCCCUGGAACGGGACGCCACAGAGGGUGAGAGCCCCGUCUGGUUGGAUACCAAACCUGUGUUAAACUCCUUCAACGAGUCGAGUAGUUUGGGAAUGCUGCUCUAAAUGGGAGGUAAAUCUCUUCUAAAGCUAAAUACUGGCCAGAGACCGAUAGCGCACAAGUAGAGUGAUCGAAAGAUGAAAAGCACCUUGAAAAGGGGGUUAAACAGUACGUGAAAUUGUUGAAAGGGAAGCGUUUAUGACCAGACUUGUGCCGUGUGGCUCAUCCGAGGUUCUCCCCGGUGCACUCCACGCGGCUCAAGCCAACAUCGGUUUUCGUUGGGGGAGAAGAACAGUGGGAACGUAGCUCCUCUCGGGGAGUGUUAUAGCCCAUUGUACGAUACCCUGGCGGGGACCGAGGACCGCGCUUCGGCUAGGAUGUUGGCGUAAUGGUCAUUAGCGACCCGUCUUGAAACACGGACCAAGGAGUCGUCCAUUAGAGCGAGCGUUUGGGUGUAAAACCCGCACGCGUAAUGAAAGUGAAAUUAGGUGAGAGCUUCGGCGCAUCAUCGACCGAUCCUGAAGUUUACGGAUGGAUUUGAGUAAGAGUUUUAACGGACGGACCCGAAAGACAGUGAACUAUGCUUGAAUAGGGUGAAGCCAGAGGAAACUCUGGUGGAGGCUCGCAGCGGUUCUGACGUGCAAAUCGAUCGUCAAAUUUGAGCAUGGGGGCGAAAGACUAAUCGAACUGUCUAGUAGCUGGUUACCGCCGAAGUU